GUCUAUUAAGCUAAGAUUGUAUGGAGGAUAACUCUUCUGUAUUCUCUCAAGCUUAAUAUUUACAGACAAACUAAUAUUUGUUCUUGUAAAAUCAAAAAUGUCUUUUGUUUCUUCUCUUUCACCUGUGAUUACACAUUUGUAUUCCAAUCAUUUCUAAUCCUCCAGGUUUACCCUCACUGUUUGAAAACCUGUCAUAUUUUGUUGUUGUAGAACCUGUUUUUCCUAACUUACAUUUGGUUGUGUCAGUGUUUAAAAGUGUUUUACAAACAAGAAUAUAAAAACGUGGAAACCACAUCUUUGUAUCUGAUACAGUUUUUUUCUUCCUUUACUUGAAUUGUCAGAUAAAGUUCUGUUGGGUCUUUCUGGAUUACAGUGUGAGAAAUAUGAUGUUGGAUUAGAAGUUGUUCAUUUUCUUAUGAUGUAGCUAGUGAACUUAAAACCUCUUUUUUUAUUUGUUUAUUUAGGAGAUGGAUUAUUAUAAAUAUUUAAGGAUGUGUGAUUAAGAAUUUACAAACCUUACUCGUAGUGCUAUACAGAGAGAAAUUAGUGAAUAAUUGUGUUUUCUAGGUUCUCUUUCUAAGGGUGAGAAGUUUGAUUCAUCCUGUGACAGGGGUAAACAAUUUUAGUUUAAAAUAGGCAAGGGUGAAGUUAUCAAAGACUGGGAUCAUGGAGUGGCUCAGCCGCUGACCUGCAGUGCUGGAAGUCGACAGAAGAGUGAAUAAACAAGAAAGAAUAUGUAACUGCAGCUAAUCAGGGUUGUGUUGGAGUUUGAUGGACAUCUGAUGUAGAAAAAUCUGUGCAGUCUUUGAAACAGUUGAUGAAACAUAAGAAGUACUCUAUACAUGCAGGUAAACCAAAUUAAAACCAGAUACUAGCUAAAGUUUUCUAUAUGUUCAGUAAUAUAAAGAAAAUCAUGUGAUUAAAAGAGACUAAGCUACUUUUAUUUGGGAAGAAAUUGUGUACAAAAUAAAUGUACGAGUCAUGUUUUAUUUAGGAAAAAUCAUAGGUCACUUUAAGUUCUUUCUGUCUACUGUAUGUUGUACUUUCUUAUUCUCAUUUAUACACAUGUCUACUCCUGUAUUUUUAACAGUAGAAAG